UUUAACCGUGUACUCUUCCUCCAGUGCCUUACGUUCCGUGAUAUUUCACCGCAAGCUCCUACGCUUUUUCCCAGCCGUGCACGGGAAGGCUGUUAUCAGGUUAUCUGAAGCAGAAGAUUCUGGCGCACCUCUUCAUAGUCGUUUGGUGACUGUUGGCGAGAAGUGUGCUGCUAACUUGGGCCUGACCGAUGGAUUCCAGAUGGCUGUGAGAUAGCCACCCUCAGGCCCUUCAGUCUACCGCACGCGUCUCCGUAUUCUGGGUGGCUGUCAGUUGGGCCAGCCUCCUGGCUAAGAUGUUUGCACCGCAGUAGUUGCUGCACGCGUACGGAUCGCCACCGAAUGGAUGUCACAUGUUGCCCGUCAGUCUAGCCACCGUUGACAUAUCAUUGUUUUUGGUGGGUGCCUGUGGAGGGUAACGAAAAGCUUUGAGCAGCAUUUGCACAAUAAAGAUGGAGCAUGGGGAUAUCA